rnacentral:rRNA from 1 species
GUGGAUUAGAUACCCGGGUAGUCCACGCCGUAAACGAUGUCGACUAGCCGUUGGGGUCCUUGAGACUUUAGUGGCGCAGCUAACGCAUUAAGUCGACCGCCUGGGGAGUACGGCCGCAAGGUUAAAACUCAAAUGAAUUGACGGGGGCCCGCACAAGCGGUGGAGCAUGUGGUUUAAUUCGAAGCAACGCGAAGAACCUUACCUGGCCUUGACAUGCUGAGAACUUUCCAGAGAUGGAUUGGUGCCUUCGGGAACUCAGACACAGGUGCUGCACGGCCGUCGACAACU